UNAUUAACGUCUGUCGAAUUAUUAACCCCCUGUUCUUUGCGUACUUCUUGUUUCCUUGGUGGGUUCGCCCACCACUAGGACAAACAUAAACCUUUUGUAAUUGCAAUCAGCGUCAGUAACAAAUUAAUAAUUACAACUUUCAACAACGGAUCUCUUGGUUCUGGCAUCGAUGAAGAACGCAGCGAAAUGCGAUAAGUAGUGUGAAUUGCAGAAUUCAGUGAAUCAUCGAAUCUUUGAACGCACAUUGCGCCCUUUGGUAUUCCAAAGGGCAUGCCUGUUCGAGCGUCAUUUGUACCCUCAAGCUUUGCUUGGUGUUGGGCGUCUUGUCUCUAGCUUUGCUGGAGACUCGCCUUAAAGUAUUGGGCAGCCGGCCUACGGGUUUCGGAGCGCAGCACAAGUCGCACUCUCUAUCAGCAAAGGUCUAGCAUCCAUUAAGCCUUUUUUCAACUUUUGACCUCGGAUCAGGUAGGGAUACCCGCUGAACUUAAG
rnacentral:rRNA from 1 species